rnacentral:rRNA from 1 species
CAGCAGCCACGGGAAUACAGAGGGUGCGAGCGUUAAUCGGAUUUACUGGGCGUAAAGCGUGCGUAGGCGGCUUCUUAAGUCGGAUGUGAAAUCCCUGAGCUUAACUUAGGAAUUGCAUUCGAUACUGGGAAGCUAGAGUAUGGGAGAGGAUGGUAGAAUUCCAGGUGUAGCGGUGAAAUGCGUAGAGAUCUGGAGGAAUACCGAUGGCGAAGGCAGCCAUCUGGCCUAAUACUGACGCUGAGGUACGAAAGCAUGGGGAGCAAACAGGAUUAGAGACCCCUGUAGUCCCUGUCUCUUAUAA